GUGCCUAAUACAUGCAAGUCGAACGAAACUUCUUUAUCACCGAGUGCUUGCACUCACCGAUAAAGAGUUGAGUGGCGAACGGGUGAGUAACACGUGGGCAACCUGCCCAAAAGAGGGGGAUAACACUUGGAAACAGGUGCUAAUACCGCAUAACCAUAGUUACCGCAUGGUAACUAUGUAAAAGGUGGCUAUGCUACCGCUUUUGGAUGGGCCCGCGGCGCAUUAGCUGGUUGGUGGGGUAAAGGCUUACCAAGGCAAUGAUGCGUAGCCGAACUGAGAGGUUGAUCGGCCACAUUGGGACUGAGACACGGCCCACACUCCUACGGGAGGCAGCAGUAGGGAAUCUUCCACAAUGGGCGAAAGCCUGAUGGAGCAACGCCGCGUGGGUGAAGAAGGUCUUCGGAUCGUAAAACCCUGUUGUUAGAGAAGAAAGUGCGUGAGAGUAACUGUUCACGUUUCGACGGUAUCUAACCAGAAAGCCACGGCUAACUACGUGCCAGCAGCCGCGGUAAUACGUAGGUGGCAAGCGUUAUCCGGAUUUAUUGGGCGUAAAGGGAACGCAGGCGGUCUUUUAAGUCUGAUGUGAAAGCCUUCGGCUUAACCGGAGUAGUGCAUUGGAAACUGGGAGACUUGAGUGCAGAAGAGGAGAGUGGAACUCCAUGUGUAGCGGUGAAAUGCGUAGAUAUACGGAAGAACACCAGUGGCGAAAGCGGCUCUCUGGUCUGUAACUGACGCUGAGGUUCGAAAGCGUGGGUAGCAAACAGGAUUAGAUACCCUGGUAGUCCACGCCGUAAACGAUGAAUGCUAAGUGUUGGAGGGUUUCCGCCCUUCAGUGCUGCAGCUAACGCAAUAAGCAUUCCGCCUGGGGAGUACGACCGCA
rnacentral:rRNA from 1 species